CUCCUCUGCAAUUUUCACUCUUCAAUCAUUCACUCUUAAUCCUCCUGCACUUAAUUCUUUCAUUUUAUACCCUUUACCUUUUUUUCUUUUUGCAGAUCAAAACAAGACGAAGGUCUCUAAUGGAGAAAGCGCCCAUUAAAGAGCAACUUCAAGCGAUUGUUAGGAGUAAUGAAGUGAAGAUGGUUCAGUUUCCACUCAAGAUUCAGCCAAAAUUGUAAGAAAUCUGAAUGUUAUUUCAUUUUACCCUUCUCAUUUUCUUUUUUUUUGCAGAUCAAACAUUUCUUCUUUGCCGAUCAAACCUCUUCUUCAAAAUUCUAGGGUUUCUCCACAAACCCUUUUUGGUCUGAUUUGAUUGAUUUUUGUUAAUCAUUUAUUUGGGUUGAUUUAUGAAUUGAUUUAUUUGGUUUGCUAUUUUCGAUUUGGGUUGAAUUCGAUUUUUUUAGAAUUGAUUAAAACCUAAUUUUGUGGUGCUUCUGCUGUGCUUAUUCUGGGUUGAAUUCGAAUUUUUUAAAGCUACAAACAGAUAAAUAAGGUAAGAGAGAUUCCCAUUCCCAAAACAACUUCUUUCCUCUAAAAACAACCUAAAAAAGUUUCAUCUCAUUUUUGUGUGUUUAUUUACUCCUUUUUUCCCAAAACAAAACCGAAUUAUCAAAUUUUGAGAUGUAGAACAUUUUAUUGUUUUUGUGUGUUCUUUUUACUCCUUUUUUUCCCAAAACAAAACCAAAUUAUCAAAUUUUGAGAUCCGGGACAUUUUUUUGUUUACCUAGAUGAAUUUAAUCAAAAAAACCUACAAAAAUGACGAAAAUGGUGGUCUUUUCAAAAAUACGGAGAAUGUUCUUCCCGUAAAAACUUCGGCGGAAAAACAGUAAUUGUUGUGAUAAGAUCAGACCAAGAAAGUAAACAACUUUAAACAUGGGCUUUAAUGAAAAUUGCUCAUCCUGGAGACCGUCUUCUUGCCCUUCAUGUUCUUCAUCACUCUUUGAAAUAGACUACAUUUAAUAAAGCUUAAUUAUAAGUUUAUUAAGAUGAUUGGGGUUAUUAAGUAAGUUAAUUUGAGUAAUAAUAUUAUUGUUUUGAUAAUAUUGACUCAAGUAUUUUAUUUGUUAACAUUUUCAAGAAAGAGGUAUAUCUUAUUUAAUGUAUAAAAUUUAUAUAAAAAAUACUUCAAUAAAAAUAUAUUUUGAUUAUAUUUUAUUAAUUGAAUGCUAUCUUAUCUUUAUAAAAAUAAAUUUAAAUAAAGUAUUGAAAAAUAAAUUCCUAAAAUGCAAUCCUUAUUCAUACUAACAAUUAUUAUUUCAUAAAUAGCCUAUUAUGUCCUCAACUCCAACCGACACACCCAUCCCCUUCCCUUCAUCCUCUACACUUUCCUUCUCUCUCUCCCCUCAUUCUUGCGCACCACUAGCCGCACAGCCCUCCCCGACGAGCAGCCACCAAAGCAGGGCACCACUCUUCCUCCCCACGAACAACCACGAGCAGCAGGGGCUGCGUGGUCUCUUCCAAGCAGCAGAGCAGGCUGCGUGUACCCUCACAACAGUCGGUUGUCCCUAGUGCCGCCACUCCUUCCCUUGUUCCAGCACCUCCUCCCUUUAUUGUUGGUAACCACUUUUCCCUCUUUUGUUGUUUUGUUUUUAAAUUUAAAUGUUAGGGUUUUGUAAAUUGAUUUGGGGAUUUUGUGACUCAAAUUGAAGUUCAAGAUUGAAAGGUCCUUUAGUAUUUGUGGAUUCAAUUUGGGUCUUUGAUUCAAAUUUAGUUAUCAACUUGAAUUUAAGAUGAGUAUAUGGAUUCAAUUAGUAAUUGAGUUGUUUUUAGUGUUGAUUAGAAUUGGUUAUUUGGGUUAUUUGGUUUCUAGUAUAAAAUUUAGUAUUUGGAUAUUGAAAUUUCAGCUCAGAAACUGAGCAUUUUGUUUUGGCCAUUUUCGGGUCAGUUGUGAUUGUUUCUAGGUUCUGGUGCCUUCAUGAGAUUUGUAGAGCUUCGAGUCGCGGUCGCGUGGGCACUUGAAUUGUCCCAAAAUGAGUUCGUAUGAGAGAGUUAUGUUCAAAAUAGUGAAAUACCAACAGGCUGUCAUGAAAAUCGAGGAUAAGCUUUCUGUUUUGCCAUUUUCGGGGUCGUUAUGAUUGUUUCUGUGUUUUAGUGUCUUCAUAAGAAUUAAAUAAAUUAGUGCACCUUAUAAGUUUUUAUUUUUUCAAACAUUUAGGUGGAAGUGUUUAAAAUGUUCUCGAGAGACUACAGCGAAUUCUGUAGUGCUGAAGAGUUUUCGAAGAAAAGUUUAAAAAGAAUGAUUGCCAAAAAAAUGAGUCAUUUAUAAAUCCAUAUGAUGAAUCUCGUAAGGAGAGAAAUGUGAGGAGAUUUUGCCUUGGCUAUGUAACUGUAGCCAAGAAUAUUAUGUUAAAAAGAUUGGAAACUUGGAUUGAAAAUGCCGCUUGCUUUACUAUCACUUGUCGAAGGGACAUGGAUGGCCUACUGCUAUUGAGGAAGAAGAGGCAUUGGAAGGGUCAUAAAAUUCACAUAUCUCAUGGCUGUAAAAAAAUGGAGACUGUGAAAAACAUUGCGAAAUACAAUUCUAUCAACUGUGAGGAUUGAUGUAAAGAGUUUUAGUGUUAAAAUUGCUUUGUAUGCCUUAGAUUUGUGGUCUUUGUAUUUAUAAAUGCUUUUAAGUGGUUUGUACAUUGUAGGAUGUGCCUUUGUUUGUUUGUUUUCUUUUUAGAAAGCUAAUUUGGGGAUCUUCAUCAAGCAAACGGUAAUUUCAUAGAAUUUACAUAUCUAUGAAGUUACCGUAACUUCAUGGAAUCCACAUAUCUAUGAAGUUAUCGUUUGCUUAGUGAAGAUUCCCGAAUUAGCUUGCUAAAAAGAAAACAAACAAACAAAGACACAUCCUACAAUGUACAAACCAACUAAAAGCAUUUACAAAAACAGAGACCACCAAUCCAAGGCAUACAAAGCUAUUUUAACACACUGUUUACAUCAAUCCUCAUAGUUGAUAGAAUUGCAUUUUGCAAUGUUCUUCACAGUCUCCAUUUCUUUACGGCCAUGAGAUAUGUGAAUUCAAUGACCCUUCCAAUGCCCUUUCUUCCUAAAUGGCAGUAAGCCAUCCAUGUCCCUUCGACAAGUGAUAGUAAAGCAAGCGGCAUUUUCAGUCUAAGUUUCCAAUCUUUUUAACAUAAUAUUCUUGGCUACAGUUACAUAGCCAAGGCAAAAUCUCCUCACAUUUCUCUCCUCACGAGAUUCAUCAUAUGGAUUUAUAAAUGACUCAUUUUUUUGGCAAUCAUUCCUUUUAAACUUUUCUUCGAAAACUCUUUAGCGUUACAGGAUUCGCUGUAGUCUCUCAGGAACAUUUCAAAUGCUUCCACCUAAAUGUUUGAAAAAAGAAAAAUUUAUAAGGUGCACUAUUUAUUUUAUUUUUUUGAUUGACUUGAACAACAUCAACCACUUGUUUAUCCUUCACCACCACCGGACGGUAAGUCCUCCAGGUAACCGGUAAGUCCAUUCCCCGUUGUUCCACGACAGGUACUUAGUUUUGUUUGGUGUUGUGGUUGUGUAGAUCUAUGCAGAUUUUGUUUUAACAAUUUAGCACUCAUUCAAUUUCCAAUCUCCAUUUUCAACUCAAUUUUGAUCUCUUACUUCCUGUCUUACUUGCCUCCUCUUCACCUCAACUUUUCCGCCGGCGCCUUUUACCCUAAUUCCCCCCAUUUUGUCGUUGAAUUCAACCUAAUUCUACAGGUUUAUCAUUAGAUAUUUUCGUUUUUGAUUCGUCUUGCAUAUUAUUUUUUUGUCUUUCCAUUGUGAAAUUUUGCCUGUUCUAUUUUUUUGAUUUGUCAGUUUGAUAUCUGAAUUCAUAAGUUUUUUGUGUUAUAGUUUAGACUAAUAGGACUUUAUUUGCGUAAAAUUUGUAGAUUUCGAAUUUGUUUUGUUUUUGCGACUUUUUUGCUGUUUGUUUGAUUCUUGAUUUCUUUAUUUAUUUUGUUUUUUUUUUCAAAUUUCUUUACUAUGAAUUGAGCAUUUAUUUCUUGAACGAAAGAAAUUUGAUGUGAAUCCUUUUUUAUCUUUUUUGUUGCUAUAGAAAAUUUGAGUCUUAUCAGCUUAUCUUACUUUUUUUUCUUCUCUAAUUCUAAAAAUUAAAACUUCUUUUUUUGUCAAUUUUGUUAUUUGACAUAAUCAGAUAAUCUCUUACUAUACCUGAUAUAGGUUGGCUAUGUAUUAAACAAGAACCAAACUAUAAACACACGUUUGUAUUUUGAAGUUUCGAAUUCAAUAAAUAAGGCUAAUUAGUUUCUAUUGUAAUGGAAUUGUUUUGUGAUUUUGUGGUUUGAAACAAGGAAAAUUAAGAAAGACAUGUUGAUUGAACAACUUAAAAUUGGCUGAACCAAAAGUUUAAUUUCGAUACAGAAUUUACCACGAAAUUAAAGCUAUGGGCUCCUAAGAACACAUUCAAUCUUUAGCCAAAAGAAUGAAAAGCAAAGGAACUUCAACUUACUUUCAACUACUCCAAGUUAAAAUUAAUUUGCAAAGAAAGAACAAGAAAUGCUCAAAGGUUGUUUGUAUUAAAGAUGUAAUGGAAGUGAAUGAAUUACAAGAGAGCAAGUAGCCUAUUUAUACUAUAGAAUUCAGCUACCAAAGAUUAAAUCUGAAUAUUACACAAAAGCAAGCUCCCAGCAGCUAUAUUAUUAAAUCUAGUGGAUAAAAGCAAGUCUCCAACAACUAUAUUUUGAAAUCUAGAGGAUAUUUGGAAAUAAAGUGAUUGGCUUGAUUUGAAUUGAUUUGCAAAUGUCCUUCAAUAGUCUUCAUAUAUCCUUGAUGAUUUUCAGCCAUCUUGUUGAUUUUAUGGUUGAAUGUUUUGCUUCGAUUCUUGCUUCGCACGCUUUGUAAAUUUGAACCCAUUUGAGCCAAAAUAAAUACUAGACUUAAAAGAAAAUUACAACUCAACUAAUUAAACAUGAGACAUGAUUAAGCUUGAUCCUAAACCUGACUUAAUCAUUUCUAAAGGACUCAAAUAUUUGAAAUAAAAUAAAAGACUCAAAUUAAUGAAGACUUAGUUUAUGACUACGAAAUUAAAGGGCUUGACAUUUGGACUUUGAAGUGGAGCGUCUUCCGUUUGAUGUAUCAUUGUAUUGAUCUUAGCUAGCUCAUGAGAAUUAGAUGUAGGUGAUCCUAUAUCAAUACCAUUUUUUUUUUGUGAACCUUUUGUUGUUUAUAUAAUUUUGCUGAAGUUAUUUAAAUUCGUUUCAGAUCUGGUGGUUUUGAGUUGAUUUUUGAUUUGUUGUGGCUUUAGCUAGUGCUCCCUUUUAAGUUUUUUUGGUAACUUUUUUACUUUAGUCCUUAGUAGUUGAAUAUAGAGUUAGGAAGCAAUUAUGGUCACCUGAGGUCAGGUCCAAAAAGAGGGGGUUAGGGGGGCAACGUAAGUAGGAUCUAGAACUAUGAGUGGGGACUUGGAACAUAGGUACCCUAGAAGCCAAGUCGUUGGAGUUGGCCAAUGAGCUUUCUAAAUACAAGAUUCGUGUAGCAUGUGUUUAAGAGACUAGGUGGUAGAAGCUUUCUAAAGGGAUAUAAGUUGUGGUAUGUAGGUUUGGACGGCAGACAUAGCAGGGUUGGCAUCCUAGUGUCUAAUAAUAUCGUAAAACAACUGGUUGAAGUAAGGAGGUGUAAUGAUAGGAUUAUGUUAGUUAGGAUAGUAGUGGGGGAAGAGAUCAUAUCCAUCGUCAGUGCGUAUGGGCCCCAAGUUGGGCUCGAUGAGCAGGUGAAGCGCGAGUUCUGGGAUAACCUAGGAGACCUCAUGAGAACUAUCCCGGAAGAUAAAGAAAGUUUUCUUAGGAGGAAACUUUAAUGGACAUAUAGGCAGAGAUGCAGACAACUAUAACUCGGUUCAUGGAGGGUUUGGUUUGGGGGCAAGGAAUGAGAGUGGGGAGAAUUUGCUGGAGUUUGCGCUAGCAAAAGAAUUGGUUAUAGCAAACUCGAUCUUCUGGAAGAAAGAUGAGCAUUUGAUUACAUAUAAGAGCGGCGGACAUGCAACCCAAGUUGACUAUUUCCUAGUGCGCAAGGAAGAUCGGGCCUCAUGCUUGGAUUGUAAGGUAGUGUUGGGUACAAAGAUGCCCAGGAUGAGGAAGAAAAGAAGGUCGAGUUCAGGGGAAAGAUCAUGUGUGGAGACUCAAAGGGGAUAUGGACACAACCCUAUCAAGUAAGAUAAGUUCGUUUGGCUUCCCAUAUCAGUCAGAGGAUGCGAAUGAAAUGUGGGUGAAUAUGGCAAAAACCAUUAGAAAAGUGACAAAAAAGACCUUGGGGGUAUCGUCGGGUAAACCAAAAGUGUUAAGAGUCGUCGUGGUGGAACGAUGAGGUGGAAAAGAAGAUAAAGGACAAAAACAAGAGAUUCAAGUAACUUAUAGCAUGCACGGAGGAGGAGGAUAGGAUAGAAAAGAGAGUGAGCUACAAAGAAGCAAAGCGGGCGGCAAAGAAAGCGGUAACAGAGGCAAAAAACCGUGGUUAUGAGGACUUUUAUCGGAAGCUUGAUACCAAAGAGGGGGAGAAGCAUAUUUUUAAGUUGGUAAGGACUAGAUAUAGGCGACGACAAGACUUAGAGGCAGUGAAAUACAUCAAGGAUGAGGGAGGACGAGUUCUCCUGAGAAAAGAGGACAUCAAAACCAGAUGGCUUCAGUAUUUCUCUCAAUGAGUCUAGGGGGACAAACGAGGAGGAUGGUCAAAUUUCUGACAUCCAAAGACCACUGGAAUAUGGGUCAACGAGUGAUAUUACCACAGAAGAAGUAAGAGAAGAUCUCAAAAAGAUGGGGAGAAUAAAGGCAGUCGGACUAGAUAACAUCCCGAUUGAGGUGUGGAGGGGUUUAGGAGAAGAGGGCAUUCGUUGGCUGACUAACCUCUUUAAUAUUAUCUUCAAGACACAUAAGAUGCCAGAACAAUGGAGGAACAACACACUAAUACCUCUGUUUAAAAACAAAGGCGAUGCGCAAAUAUGCGGGAAUUAUAGAGGUAUAAAACUUCUAAGCCACACAAUGAAAUUGUGGGAAAGAGUGAUAGAGAGGAGAAUUGGACAGGAAACGGUUUUAUGCCAGGAAUGUCAACCAUUGAGGCGAUUCAUGUUUUGAGGAGACUGAUGGAAAAAUAUAGGGAGCGAAAGAAGGAUCUGUAUAUGGUGUUCAUUGACUUGGAGAAAGCGUAUGAUAGCAUACCACGACGCGUCAUCUGGGAUAGCCUCAAGGCUAGAGGUAUUUCUUCAGUGUACAUUGAGGCUAUACGAGAUAUGUAUGAUAGAGUUUCAACUAAGAAUCAAACACCGGUGGGGAUAACAGAGCCUUUUCCGGUUAAAGUUGGACUACAUCAGGGAUCAACUCUAAGCCUUUUCAUUUUUACUGUGCUGUGACUUUAGUGGGACAACACCGGUACGUGAAUCAGAGGUGUCCAUUGGUGAAGCAAUUGUUAAAAGUACGACCAAGUACAAGUAUUUGGGAUCGAUCAUUCAAAAGGAUGGGGAGAUUAACGGAGAUGUAAGUCAUCGUAUACAUACGGGUUGGCUCAAGUGGCGAGCAGCCAUCGCGGUGCUAUAUGAUAGGAAAUUCCCAAGCAAGUUAAAAGGAAAAUUUUACCGGGUGGCAAUCAGAUUUUUGAAUAUAAGACGGAAGUUACAGAAAUGCGUAUGCCGAGGUGGAUGUGUGGGCACACAUUGAUGGAUCGAAUUAGAAACCAAGAGUUUAGGGACAAACUAGGGGUAGCCCCUAUUUUUGGAAAAUGCGCGAAAAUAGAUUGAGGUGAUUCGGACAUAUGAAGAGAGACUUUCGACGCCCCUGUGAGGAGGGUAGAAAGCAUUAUAUAGUAGAGGGUAAGAGAAGUCGAGGAAUACCCAGGAGAACUUGGGAUGAGCAAAUUAAAGUUGAUUGCAUAAGUUAAACCUCUCUGAGAACCUGACUAGAGAUAGGGGUAGUUCGAGGCGCCAUAUUCGUGUUUUAGACUACUGAUUUCCUCUUAGGUUACUUAUUGGUGUUCUUGUCCUUUUGCUUUUCUCGUCUCUAUUUUUAUUAUUAGUAUUAUUGUUUUCAUUUUUAUUUUUUUAAUUGUUUUUACUUAUUUAUUUUAUUUAUAGGCAUUUAAUUUAUUUUUCCUGUGUAGAUACUUCUCUUUAUCUUUUUCGAGUCGGGGGUCUCCUUUGGCCGCGCUCUUCUUUAUGGGUAUGAGUUGUCGCCGUCCUUCCCUUCCCAGACCCUGUCCAUAGUUUUUCUAUGAGCGGGAUACACUGGGUAGGAUGAUGAUGAUGAUAUUUUGUAAUGUUAAUGAUGAUUUUGGUGAUUGCUAAUCGAACAUUAAGCAAGUUUAAUAAAUAGAUUAGUGUUUGUAAAGAAGAUAUUGCGUGUAUUUCGCAUUGAAUAAUGUUGUCAUUUAGAGCGUAUAAUGGUCAUCGAAAAUUAUAAUUAAUUAAAUUAAAUAAUUAAUUUAAAUAAAUUAAUUUAAAUAUAUCCCAAGGUUGCAAAGUUUCUGUUUUUGAGCAAAAGUAGUGUUCACGGAUCGCGAAACAACUCGCGGAUCGUGAGUAAUUAAGAAAAAGCUACUGUUUUGUGGGAGCAACAGGUCGCGGCUCGCAACCUAUCUACCAACGGUUAGUUAUAAUGUAACUACAAACGGUUAAAUAUGGUUAUAUUAACCAGAUAUAUUGGGAUGGAUUGAUUGAAAGACGACAUUAGUUCGUGAAUCGAUCUUAUGUUUGAUGGAGUAACAUGUUGCUUCGUAAAAUGGUGUUAGCUACUCUAUAAGUAUAGACCGCUUGUGUGGUUAUUCUCUACAUGCCAUUUCUGAUUUCUUUUCUUUUGUAGCAUUUUACAUAGAGAACUUGCAAUCCUCGAUUGUAAAUUUCCGUUUCUUCUUCCACUUAAGUUUUCUCAUGUUGUUCUAAAUUCCGUGUGCUAGGAAUUUAGUGUAAUUCUUUGUAUUUCAGAACAUAUUUCCGGUUUAUAUUCCCAAGCACCGUAGUAGGGAGGAAAUGAUGUUUUAGGAAAGAGCAUCUCGCCUAGAAUUAAUAUCAAGUUCAAUACAAAAUCUUCAUGUUACUAUGUUCGAUAUAUGGUGAUUCCCGAUGAUGAAGUUCACAUUUGGUGUACGUUAAGCAAAGCUUUGAACUUGUCAUAUGUUUUUGCAACCUACUAAGUUUAUGUAACUUUAUUUUAUAAGUUUGAUUAUUAAUUUAAAGUCUCAAAACACAACAAAUAAUUAAAUACUUGCUACUAUAGCAAGAACAGUGAAUAAGUAAUGAGUGUUAUGCUGCCCUACACUAGAUUCUAGAUUGGUUCCUACCCAAUAUUCUUAUGAAUGAAUGCACUAUGAUAUAUUUACAAAGAUUAUAUGUUUUUGUUGUUGCUCACCACAUUUUUUGGGAAUACAAAUUUGACAUUGUUGCUAUUGUACAUCUCUUUGUUAAAUAUGAAGGCUUAAGCCUGAAGCUUUUAUAGUUUGAUUGAGUUGCCUCUCUUAAAUGAACUAAUUUGACCUCUUAGCAACUUUAAACAUGAUACCCUCUUUUACUUUGGUCUCUGGGUAUGCAAUCACUGUAGUGGCAUUGGGGUGAUGUUAUGUUGUUGUUUGAUCUCUUGCAUGAAUGCUACUAUGGCUUCAUUUGCAAGAUUGGAACUUCUGGUAAAUAUCGACAAGUUUCAGAAACUUUAUGCAUGACCUAUAUAGUCAUAAAAGCAAAGAACUGGACAUGGAGUUGAUGACCAUUGAAGAAAAUAAUCGCUUAAAUGCAUGAAUCAGUUCUUAUUUAUGCUUACUUUCUGGACAUUUUCAAUCAUCUUAUGCUCUCAAGACACUAGAAUACUUAAUACGGCGAUAUAAGAUUCAUGUGUAUAAUAUUGAGGAGUUAAUCUUUUGUGCGUGCCUUAUCACGACACCCACAUUUUUGUUCGGAUAGUACAAUUAAUUGACUUUGGAAAUUGUCGUUGGAAGUUUCUAGAUAGUGUCAAAAAUUCUGGGCCCCCACCUACUAGAGAGGUCAUAGUUCAGCAAUGCCAUCGUGACUUGGGCAUUCUUGAGGCUAUAUGCUCCUAUGCCACUGCCGUAAAGAAGCACCGGCCCACCACACCUGUGAUUAGCUUUUGCACAGCCGUUGUGGUUGAGGUAUUGGGCUCUAUGAAAACUAUUGAUAGUGAUAUUGUGAAGAGAAUUCUUCCAUUCCUGAAUUCUGGUCUGCAGUCUGGUGGUUUGGAAUCUUCGGACUAUAAAGCUGGCACAUUUAUGAUUGUCAGUCUAUUGGCGAGAAGAGUAUCAUUGUCUUCCAAAUCAACAGCUUGGUUCUGUCAAUUGCUGAGCUAGCACAAGCAGAUUCACAAGCCUCACCAGAUUUGCAGUGGGUUCAGUUAUCAAUCAUGGCUUUGAUCAACAUUGUGCAAAUGCAGUCAGUUGAUUCACUCCCUUAUAAGGCAUUAGAUGUUUUGAAAGAAAUUAUUGAUCUUCCUUGGGAUUCUUGUACAAAUGACCACUAGGUUCAAUAUUGACAGAUUUCUUACUGUGCUCUUGGGUUCCCUAAUUGACUACAGUAGCUCUGAUGACCGAUGCCAUCUUGCUGUGGUGUCAAUCAUUGAGAAUGUUGAUAUCAGAUACCUUAUUCGAGACUUUGUUUUCAGACUUCUUUCUUCGUGUUUUCAGUUAUCUCAAAAUUCCGAUGCUUCAAAGUUGUCAGGGUCAAGUAGUUGGGCUAAUUAAUUAUUUCUUCUUCUUCAUAAGAAAUAUCCUAAAGAAUUACAUUCUUCUGUUCAUGAGUUCUUGAAUGAUAAAAAAGUUCUACUGAAGGGUGAAGAUACUGUGGUAGAAGCCUUGUGCAGGAUGUUGGAUGGGGACAUGAAUUCAUCUGUAGGCUUUACAGAUUCGAACAUUUGUUUUGGGUUAGAACAUCCGAAGGCUGAGAUUCGACGAUCCACGCUCUCUAAGCUUGAUUUGUCCGCCUUUUUAAAUGAUGGAUUUACAUCACAGAGGAUAGUAAGUGUCCAGGAUGCAGUUGUUCAUUGUCUCUCUGAUGAUGAUCUGAGUGUUGUUCAUGCUGCUCUUUCUCUGGAUAAGUUGUCAGAGCUUGUGGACCCUACUUGUCUGCUGGAGAUAUUCAAGGGUUUGCUUCAGAGAUGCACUUAGAUUAUGUGGUCAGGUGAUUUUAAAGAUAUUUUCUCUUGCUGGUGAGGUUGCUAUUUUGUGUCUGAAGCUUGCGGUUUCUUUCUUGAAAGACCGAGCUGAUUUCGUAGAGCAAGUUGCCACAAUGAUUCUCCCUUUUGUUCUUGUCUUCCCAAGGACAAAGAAAGUGAACUUGAAGGCCCAGAAGUUGGCCAAGGAAACCAAUUGGUCCUUUUACAGAGAUCUAAUUUUGACAUCUGAUGUUAAAAAGGAGAAGAAAUCAGAAAAGGAGUGGGUUUCUGCUGCUAAUAUGUUAAUAGUUUGCAGCUUGGUGGUUGUAUUUUCUGAGAAUACUGAAGAAUAUACACUGGCUAAAAUUUGAAUUGUCAAAAACAUUGUUCUUCUUGGUUUUACAUCAGUCAUUCACGAUAAAUAAUGAUUUUCAUCAAUUUUCUACUUUUUUUGAAGCUUGGUAAGAUUUUAUUAAGGUGGAAUGGAGAACUUUUGAGUAUGGUGAAACUUUUUUGCCUGGUCAGGAAUUCAACUCUAAGAUUAUUGACUCAGAAGACCGGAAGUUUCUGGAGGAGUUUGAAGAAAACAAUCUUAAAAAUUUGAAUUCAACGAUCCUGGUUUGUGUUUUGGAGGGAAAUUAAGGCAUAUUAAUCAGCAGUGCCUAUGAACGUGAGCGUGGGUGAUGAUGGAAAAUUGAUGUGUGCUUUGCGGGCCCUUUAUGUCUUCUUUGCUGAAUCUAAUCUGAAGCAAGUUUUUGUGGAACGCAGAAAUUAUUUCAUUCAAAACUGCAAAGUGUGACGCCUAGACUCCCCAAAGUCUAAUUUGUUGCCCUUAUUGGAUCUAUGGUUUUUGAAACUCUAAAAAGUGUUUUUUUUUUUUUUUUUUUUUUUUUUUUUUUUUUUUCCUUUAGUGAUGUGUCUGUUUCCCCUCUAGUGAGUCCAACAUUCCAUAACAGUAUCGGCGUCCUGCCUACGAACACAGGUACAAUGAGGUAAAGGUCAAGUCCUAGCAUCACAGCUCCGUUGUAUGGCGUCACAAUGAAUAAUGUGAAGUGUUGUCGGGGGGUUUAUAUGAAUUUUGGAUGUUUAGCGUCUAACCAACCACUUUUGCUGUUUUUCAAUUCAGCUUUGGAAGAGAUUGGGAAAAAGAAGUUGUUGCAGUUUUCUGGUUACCUAAUUCACUAAUCCCCAUGUGAAUUGUGAAUUAAGACAAGCUAAUUACGAGCAGUUUUUGGCAAAAAUGUGAAUUAAGAAAGAGAAUCGCUUUGAGAAAUAUGCAAGCUUAUUUCUGUUGCAAUGAAUAUCUUGGUUGAUUGACUUCCCUCAAAGACUUAGCUCUUCUAAUGUUUCGUGAGCUGUAGCGUUAAAAAUAAAACAAAAAUAAUGGCUGGGUAUGAUUCGAAUCCUCUAUAGUCCAUGAACCCUAAUGCGAUUCUCUUCCUUCCCUAAAAAUAUGGCAAUUUUAUAGACAAAUGACUAAUAUUAAUUUUUCUGAAUUGAAAAAGAAGUAUGUACUCUUGAAACUGUCAUUAUAAGACAUAGUCAUUAGCUUUUUCUCAUUACACACUAGCUCUUGUGCAGGGGGCUAUUGAAUCACAGUCAAAUGCUUCUGACCCAUUGAUCAAGUAGCGGAAGUUAAACCAUGUGCCUUCCGAUAGUCGUUCCUUUAUUCUUCAUUUUGAUGGAGCUACAAAAGGAAAUCCUGGUCCUGCUGGUGCCGGAGUUGUACUUCGAACUUCUGAUGGAGCCUUGAUGUAGAAUUCGUCAAGGCUUGGGAGUUGCUACCUGUAAUGCUGCUGAAUAUCAUGCCGUUAUUUUAGGGUUAAAGAAAGCUCUUGAGAUGGGUUAUACAAGUAUCCAAGCGCUGGAUGACAGCAAACUUGUCUGCAUGCAGGUGGAUCGUGAGUGUUUUAAGAGUUCAUUUUAAAGAGUACUAUGACGCUUACGAUUAGUUUUAUGAAUUAACUAGUUAGUUGUGUUGUACUUUGUUGACCGUGCUGUAAUUUGGGAUUUAUGUUAGUGUUAGCACUUAAGAUUUUAGUUGUGUGUGUGACGGUAAUACUUUUGUCUUUGAUUUUAUUUUCGCAUUUUAUUUAUUAAAAGUAAUUUUUAUUUUUUAAGCUUCUAAAUUGGCGGUGUUACACUUUACGUUAUUGAUAUGUGAAGAUUAGAACGUUGAUACUUUUUAUGGGUUCUCUCGUGAUUGAAAAGUGAAAGCAUGGAUGUUAAUCUGUCUUCAAUGUGAUAACUUGUGCCUUACCCUGAGUUAUGGAAAAUCACUUUAUUGUUGCUGUGUGAGCUUCUACGGCACUUUUGGUUGUAGGUACUAAAUGGUGGUAAUGAGAAUGAUAGUGUAAAUAUUCAUGAAUUUAACCCGGUCAUUGUCAUGGUAAUGAAACAUUGAUCAUUAAAAAAGUUUUGUUCAUAAUUUUCCAUCAUCAACUGUUACCACAUCUCCAAAUGUUAAUACAUUGGAAUAAAUUUUGUGAAGAAAAGUGAGAUGAUUGAAGUAGAAUAAGCAUGGUCAUUAAACUACUUAAGAUAUUUUCCCACCAAAAUUACACUACUUUUUCAAUACCAUUUUAAAUUCCACCAUUUAAUACCGACUACCAAACAGGCGGUUAAAGCUUUGAUAUGAAAAUUGUAAAUGGAUUGCUAUGAAAAUCACCUUAUGAGAUAGAACCAUAGCCUAUUUUUCUGUUUACUCGGUUAUUGUUUAUGAGUGAACAUUUUAAUCUAUGUACUGCAAUUGCUCAUGUAAUACCCCUGAAUUUCCGAUCCCUUAAAGAAACCAAAACCGUAAAGGACGGGAGGAAAUUCGGGUGUUACAUAAAAGAAAAGGAAAAGAAUUUGGAUAAAUUUUAAAUAUUAACUUUAAAAAGUUGAGUCGAAAUUACGGCAACAUCUGCCUUAAAACUGUGCGCCUUUGUAGAAAAACAAAAGUUAUUUAGAAGCUAAUAAAGUAAAGGUACCAACGGCCUAUCAAAACUAUGUCAUGGCGGAAUGAUUCGUCGCCGGCUUCUCAAAUUAACAUGCCAAACAUGGAUCGUGGUUCCAGUGUCGACGUUUGCGUUUUAAAAAGACUUAACUCCUUAAAACCAUACAAAGUUAUAAACUACGCAGCGGAAACACAAAUAUACGAGGGAGGACACAAGGUCUCAUAACAAAACAUAUACAACCAAAGUUUACAAAAGAUAACAAGAGCUACAAAAUCGAAAGAUAGCGGUAUGACAUAGGUUAUGCUUCGCCCUCAUCACUCUCCCCAAAUGCAAAGCAAAAGAAGCUCCAUUACCUGCUACGUCUGUCUAUGAUCCUCCUGCUGCUCGACAUUCGACCAAAGGCCAAUGUGUCAUAGCAGGACAAUCAUAGAAAGUCAUCAAUAAUGAAACAUAAACACAAACACGUACACGUCAGUAACUAGCAUCAAAUAUAAUAAGAGGCCAACUACUAGAUAACAUUAUAUCAUAAAACAACAUAAGAUUAUUUUAUAAAACGCAAGCACGGAUAGUAACUGUUUAUCGGCCACUUAUACUUCUUAAUUUCAUUACGUGCUUUCCAACCCGAACCAUGUGUUCUUGGGUAGAAUGCAGGUCCUCACGCUCCUCUUUUCAAACAUAAAUUCUUGCAAAACACGUAUAGUAUCAACUCGACCAAAGCAUUAACAGAAUACCUAACACAUGACCUUGUAGAGCUUGUCUAUCUUAAGGUAAGUGUGAUCAUAGUCUGUAAUACCCUUGAGGUAACUUAACUUAGGCACACUUCUCACUAGCAUAAACUAUUCUAUCAAUAAGUAGAUGUUCUAUUAAUGAGUAAACGUUCUAUCAAUGUGUAAGCUUUCUAUCCAAGAAUGAACCUUCUAUCAUUAAAUAACUUUCGAUCAAUGAAUAAACUUUCUAUCACUGAAUAACUUUAUAUCAGUAGAUCUUUUCUCUACUUCCUGGCAUAGUGACACGGCUAAGGGUGUUAUCGGCCACUCGGCGCCUAUGGCAAAGUAUGAGCUCAUGCCCCCUCCAGCUAACCCUCUCGGGUCCUACCUUCGGGAAAAACUAAUACACUGGGGUACUAAACCAGUGAAGAGGCUAUCAUAUUGGGGUUUGCAAGGCUCGCAUGGUAACACUUCGGUCAAGGGGCAGUAUCGGUCACCCGGCGCCCAAUGGCCCAAGCAUGCUCAUACCCCCCUUACGGUGGUCCCAUCGAACCUCACCUAGGGGACUACUAAAUCAACCGGACAUAAUCCAGUUGAGUCACGCCAGCUAAUCAUAAUCUAAUACUUUAUCAAAUGGGAAUAACUUACACUUUCGACUAAUAAUGAGCGCCCUGGGGUAGCAGCACGCCAAAACCCACUGAGCCCCUCAACAAAAUAUGAAAUUCACCUAUAAAGGAGUCAUUCUAACUCCAAUUAAGGCAUAAUCUAAUUCUUAAAUAAAUAAGGGGGUGGUCCCCGCCUUCUACUAACACUCUCAUUCUCUAAACUAUUCUAAGCAAAAGGAUUUCAUAGUCGAUAGCUCUUCAUAUAAAGUGUACUCACUAGUACCUCAUAGUUUCGAUACAAUGCAUACUAUCACAAUAAACAAUAAUGUCUUAAAGCAAAUUGCAUAUAAGGGUUAAUUACUGCGUAUACGUACCUGUAAGCGUCAUUGCACGAUCAAGAGUUACAAAAUCACCCGACUAAGGCUCUACUUUCCUCUUACAAAAUGGGCACUUAUAUAAGUUAUGAGUAGAACUAAUAAGUUCCCUUAACUACUUUGCCAUACCAAAUUAAAUACCAAAGUAACCGCUAUCACCCAUUCAACAUGAGUUUUCGAUUACUCUAGCACGCACACAACUCAUUCAAUACAAGUCAAAAUCAUUAACUCAACACAACAUAAGUCUUUCCAUCAAAUUAAAGUAGAAGUAUGUGUGAAUGGUUUCUUUACAUUAACUAAUUUUGAGCAUAUCGGCUCGCGUUACCCAAAAAUAACUAAUCACAACUAAAUCUUACAAUUUAAUAUAACAAUAUAACGAUAAGGCAAAUCUUAGAGUUAUCGUAUUGAGAUAUCAUUUGUUACAUUCUCCAAAGCUAUUAAGAACUAUAGUCAAAACAACACGACAAUUAGCUUUAGCAACCAUCGACGAUAAGUUGACAUUAUGCUCUUGGCUUACUAAUAUCAUGUAUCUAUAACUUCAAUAACAACCUAAUAAAGGUAUUUGUAAUUCACAACAAUCAAACCACAACAAUUAGUAGCUAUUAUUCUCGAUUUAAUCAAUCAAAAUCACUUUCAUAGUCAACUAACAUCAUCACCAUUACUAAUUAUUCACAAUAAUAAACAAUCGACCAAAUCUUAAAACAACUUUUAAAGUUAUUUAAAUCAAUCAUCACCAAAAUAUAGUACAAAACACAUUAUUAGUAGUUUCAUCUCUAAAUCCAAGCUCUAAUCGUUUCGUGUUCAAAGAUAACAUAUUUAAUUACUACCCCUACUAAGAUUCAAAGAAACUAAUACAAAAUCAACACACAACCCAUAAUUUCAAAUUACCUUUCAAACCCUAAGUUAUAAACAUGUUCAAUUCAUCAAUUAAACUCUUACCCACAAAAAGAUUCAAUGAAAAUAAUACAAAAAUCAAUACUAAACUCAUAAACUUGAUAAUAGUUUCAAUUAAAGACAAGAGAAAAUCAAUUAGGGAAGAGGAUAUGGCUUACUUAGGCGAACAAGAGAAAAGGGGUGAAGAGAGGAGUGGUAACUGUAGUGGUGGACCACAAUUGGUGGUCGUGUGGGGCAGCCGCCACUGCUGGAGGUGGAAAAAUGCAACAGCAGCUGCUCUUGGGAUGGCUCACGGUUGCUGUCUGCUGCUUGGGGUGAGUUGCGGUUGCCGUCUGCUGCUUGGGGUGAGUCACGACUGUCGUCUGCUGCCCUUGGUGGUAGUGGCGGCUCAGCAGUGAGGGAGAGGGGAGAGAAGAAGAGAGGGUAGAGGGAAUGGAGGCGUGAAGAAUGGCGUGAUUCUUUGUGAGUGAGGGAAGGAGUACUCACGACCCUAACCCAUCCUUUUAUAUUAUGUAUACACUUAUUUAUUUAUUUACUUAGGUUCAUUUUCUUGCGAGGCCCAACUAAGAAACUCACCUUUGUAUGCUCACACAUUUUAAAUAAAAUAAUUAUUUUGAUUCGAACCCCUUUAUAUAGAAUCAUAAUUGUAUUUUUAAUAUAAAUAUAUGUUAAUAUUUAAAUUCGUAUAUAAAAGGAAUUUAUUAAAACUACUAAAAAAUAAAUUUAAUAUAAUUAUAAAAUAUCCAAAAAUUAUUAAAAUAUUAAUUAAUGACGUCGGGAAAUCUCAGGGUGUUACAGACUACCCCCUUAAAAGGAGUUUUGUCCCCGAAACUAGAGUUACAAGAGUACAAUUCAUGAAAAUUUGUAUUUCUAAUAACUCAAGGAUCGUGACCUUAUUGACACUAUUAACAAAAGGAUACUCAAUCUAUUAGAAUAUUCAUACAUAUCUCAUUUCGAGUAUUUAUAAUCGCCUAAAUUGGCUCAAACAACUAAUCAAAAGCAUGUAAAUAUCACACCAAUUGAUUCAAACAAUCAAUCAAAAGCAUGUAGAUAUCACACAAAUUGGUUCAAACAGUCGAUCAAAAGCAUGUAGAUUUGUAAUAGGUUGUUAUCAUAGACGCGAAAAUGCGUGAAAGCGUAGGAGAAAAUGCGUGUAAACGCGCGAAAUUCUAUCGCAUUCUACCCCCCUUAAAACUUAGUUACGACCCCGUAACUCACUAACCUCGAAACAUAUACAAGGAUAGUGUGGUCAGUACUACACACCCUAGUAUCUAGGUCUCAAUAUGUUCUCUUAGUAAGACAAGUCUCCUCAAUGUUUACAAAAGUAAUAGAUCUAGCAGAUGUGGCUUUUGAAAAGUGUAUCACUUGAACUCGUAACAACACGAAAAGUCUUGUUAUCUAAUGUAAUUCUUCAAACAACCUUUCCACUUCUACGUGACCACCUAAGGUCGUACUUUUUGAUAAUCUUGAAAUGUACGGAAGGUUUAACUAUUAUAAUUUAAAUCAUGAAUGGGGGUAAAAUAUCAAAACAACAAAGUCCUAAAAGUAAAGUGCACGAAGUUGCUCAACACUUAACUUAUUAGAAAUGGAGAAGAAGCAAAGGUUUAUAAGGUCACGUGACAGUUAACGGUUAACUUAAACGGUCAAACGGUAAAAACCGUUAUAAGGUAGUGUUUUGUAAAGAAAUGUAUUAUAUAAGGUAGUUUUUUGCAAAAAAUUUUAGAUAAGGUAGUUUUUUGCAAAAAGAGGUAUAGAAUAGGUAGUUUAUUAUAAUUUUCUCUUUUUUUAUAAGUUAUAGCUGAUCAUAAUUAAUCACUUUAAUGUCUAAAUUGAUCAUUCUUAGGUUAAAAUUGAAAUUUUUUAUAACAAAAAAACUAUGAAUAUUAGGUCAUUUACAAGAGCAUUCAAAUCAAUUGACAAAUAUAAUUCGAAAUCAACACUUUCGCCACCUUCACAUCCAGGGUAAGAAAUUAUUACACCUACAACUUUAUUUCUAAGUCCAUUAUGAACAAAAAAUUGUUAAGGAAAGAACGGUAUCACUAUUAUUGAUCGAUAAAUUAAAGAAUACAAGUACUCUUAUGUUUCAUUAUUCUAUUAAACUAUCUUGUUGCAUCGAAUAAGAGUACUUAUUAUGGGCAAUGUUUUAACGCUAUUGAUAAUGUUAUACUAUUCAUUUGUUGUUUGAAAUUCAACUACAGAAUAAUACCAUCAAAUUACCUCAAUUCUGAAAUUGUGAAAAAAAAAUCAUAUUUAGGUAUAAAUUGAUCAAUUUAGCAUCAAAAUUGAUCAAUUUUAGGUCAAAAUUGAAAUUUUUUUAUUUUAGUUGAUCUAUUUAAGGUUUAUUUUAAGUUAAAAUUGAUACGUUUAAGGACAAAAUUGAUAUAUUUAAGGUCAAAAUUGAAUAAUACCCAUAAAAUGGGAAAAACAAAGGAAAACAUGUGAAAUCGUUACAUACGCAAAUUGGACUGACUUUAAUUGACGGUCUCAUAAAGAGAUCGUCUCUUCCAAGUUUUUGUGAUCAAACAUAUAAAAAUCGUAAAUGAUGAUGAUGACAAUCUUGACCUUGUUCGUAAGCUGCCAGUAACCGUUACUAAACCCGUGGUUCUACCCAAUGUUCUUCAACCACGUGUGGUUGUCUUUGACGGCGUUUGUCGUCUCUGUCAUUCUCGUAUGGGCGAUACCCAUCUUUCUCGUUUUGCUACUUUUCAUAUUCUUUGAGCUAAACUUUAAAAUGUGUAAUUAUUUUUAGCACUAGUUUAAUUUCAUUGCUAUACAUUCAACAUUUAAGUUCAUGAAAAGAACGUAAUUACUGUUUUAAUUGAAGUAUUUCC